rnacentral:rRNA from 1 species
UACGAAGGGGGCUAGCGUUGCUCGGAAUCACUGGGCGUAAAGGGUGCGUAGGCGGGUCUUUAAGUCAGGGGUGAAAUCCUGGAGCUCAACUCCAGAACUGCCUUUGAUACUGAAGAUCUUGAGUUCGGGAGAGGUGAGUGGAACUGCGAGUGUAGAGGUGAAAUUCGUAGAUAUUCGCAAGAACACCAGUGGCGAAGGCGGCUCACUGGCCCGAUACUGACGCUGAGACGCGAAAGCGUGGGGAGCAAACAGGGAUUAAGAUACCCCAGUA